rnacentral:rRNA from 1 species
UACAGAGGUCUCAAGCGUUGUUCGGAUUUAUUGGGCGUAAAGGGCGCGUAGGCGGCGCGGCAAGUCGGGUGUGAAAUCUCGGAGCUUAACUCCGAAACUGCAUUCGAUACUGCCGUGCUUGAGGACUGGAGAGGAGACUGGAAUUUACGGUGUAGCGGUGAAAUGCGUAGAUAUCGUAAGGAAGACCAGUGGCGAAGGCGGGUCUCUGGACAGUUCCUGACGCUGAGGCACGAAGGCCAGGGGAGCAAACGGG